rnacentral:lncRNA from 1 species
UUGGGACUUCGCCAGUCGCUCCCCCACGCCGCAGUCUACUUCGUGGGGUAGUUCACUGUUUUCUCCAAGUGAGGUGCCAUGGUGCCCAGCCUCAACAAACCCUCUUAGGCGUCUGGAUCAACGUGAUCAUAAGGAGAUAGCGGACUCUACCUCGUUGUGAGAAAAUGUAUUCUUAAUAUUAAAUUUAGUUAAUGGUAGUAAGAAUUUUCUUGUGCAUGGC